rnacentral:rRNA from 1 species
AUUGAACGCUAGCGGCAGGCCUAACACAUGCAAGUCGAACGAGUGGCGGACGGGUGAGUAAUAUCUGGGAACGUGCCCGCUAGAGGGGGAUAAAUCCUGGAAACGGUAGCUAAUACCGCAUACCAUCGGAGGGACCGAUAUGGGAUUAGCUUGUUGGUGGGGUAACGGCUCACCAAGGCAACAAUCCGUAGCUGGUCUGAGAGGAUGACCAGCCACACUGGAACUGAGACACGGUCCAGACUCCUACGGGAGGCAGCAGUGGGGAAUAUUGCACAAUGGGCGAAAGCCUGAUGCAGCCAGGCCGCGUGUAUGAAGAAGGCCUUCGGGUUGUAAAGUACUUUCAGCAGGGAAGCGUUACCCGCAGAAGAAGCACCGGCUAACUCCGUGCCAGCAGCCGCGGUAAUAC